GACGAACGCUGGCGGCGUGCUUAACACAUGCAAGUCGAACGGUAAGGCCCUUCGGGGUACACGAGUGGCGAACGGGUGAGUAACGCGUGGGUGAUCUGCCCUGCACUUCGGGAUAAGCCUGGGAAACUGGGUCUAAUACCGGAUAGGACCACUGCCUGCAUGGGUGGUGGUGGAAAGCUUUUGCGGUGUGGGAUGGGCCCGCGGCCUAUCAGCUUGUUGGUGGGGUGAUGGCCUACCAAGGCGACGACGGGUAGCCGGCCUGAGAGGGUGACCGGCCACACUGGGACUGAGAUACGGCCCAGACUCCUACGGGAGGCAGCAGUGGGGAAGAUUGCACAAUGGGCGCAAGCCUGAUGCAGCGACGCCGCGUGAGGGAUGACGGCCUUCGGGUUGUAAACCUCUUUCAGCACCGACGAAGCGCAAGUGACGGUAGGUGCAGAAGAAGGACCGGCCAACUACGUGCCAGCAGCCGCGGUAA
rnacentral:rRNA from 1 species